GAUGAACGCUGGCGGCGUGCCUAAUACAUGCAAGUCGGACGGAUGUAGCAAUACAUUAGUGGCGAACGGGUGAGUAACACGUGGGUAACCUGCCCAUAAGAGGGGGAUAACAUCCGGAAACGGGUGCUAAUACCGCAUAGGUUUCUUGGUCGCAUGAUCGAGAAAGGAAAGACGGCCUUUGUGCUGUCGCUUAUGGAUGGACCCGCGGCGUAUUAGUUAGUUGGUGAGGUAAUGGCUCACCAAGACGAUGAUACGUAGCCGA
rnacentral:rRNA from 1 species